UGCCAGCAGCCGCGGUAAUACUGAAGGUGCGAGCGUUAAUCGGAAUCACUGGGCGUAAAGCGUACGUAGGCGGCGUAUCAAGUCAGGCGUGAAAGCCCUCGGCUCAACCGAGGAAUUGCGUUUGAAACUGGUAUGCUAGAGUCUCGGAGAGGUUGGCGGAAUUCCAGGUGUAGGAGUGAAAUCCGUAGAUAUCUGGAGGAACACCGGUGGCGAAGGCGGCCAACUGGAACGAGUACUGACGCGAAGGAAGGAAAGCGUGGGAAGCAACAGGAUUAGAUA
rnacentral:rRNA from 1 species